GACGAACGCUGGCGGCGUGCUUAACACAUGCGAGUCGAACGGUGAAGGGAUCAGCUUGCUGGUUCUGGAUGAGUGGCGAACGGGUGAGUAACACGUGAGUAACCUGCCCCCUUCUUCUGGAUAACCGCAUGAAAGUGUGGCUAAUACGGGAUAUUCUGCGCCUGCUGCAUGGUGGGUGUGGGAAAGAUAUUGUUUCGGUGGGGGAUGGGCUCGCGGCCUAUCAGCUUGUUGGUGGGGUGAUGGCCUACCAAGGCGGUGACGGGUAGCCGGCCUGAGAGGGUGGACGGUCACACUGGGACUGAGACACGGCCCAGACUCCUACGGGAGGCAGCAGUGGGGAAUAUUGCACAAUGGGCGCAAGCCUGAUGCAGCGACGCCGCGUGAGGGAUGGAGGCCUUCGGGUUGUGAACCUCUUUCGCCAGUGAAGCAGGCCUGUCCCUUGUGGGUGGGUUGACGGUAGCUGGAUAAGAAGCGCCGGCUAACUACGUG
rnacentral:rRNA from 1 species